GACCGUAGAAGAGGAGCCGAAGGGGGAUCUCCCUAUUUUGCCAUGGACGCCGCCGGCUCGGGUCACCGUGGAGGCCAUCGGGUCGACCGCGGGUGUCGGCCGUGCGCUACAUGUGCACCACCGGCUUCGGCCGGUUUUGCCGCUCCUCGACGGGUGGCCGUGCCCCAUCUCCUCCGCCGGAGAUGGAGGAGGAGAGCUCCCAGUCGGCCGAAGAGACUGCAGGUGGAACCAUGGCUGCCGCAGGUGCCGCCGGUUGGUCGCAGCACCGUCGGCUUCGGGCCAGCC
rnacentral:lncRNA from 1 species